GUAUCAUUUCUUGCGAAUAUGUAUACGUAACGAAAAUUCUCGAGGGUGAUGAAUGACAAAUGAAUGCCAUAGAUUUUGCGCGGGAUGUUACGAUUAGUGUACCACGUGGGUGUCGCGCCGGUCGGCCGCCAUUACUUGUUAUUGUCAUUAGUCCGCAAACCGAGAGCGAACCUUGUUGACGUAGUUUACGUCGUCCCGUGUUUCACCCAUUUCACCAUUACAAUGUCAGAACUCGAAAAGUUUUUCGAAACAAUCUUCAAGCAGUCGCAAGUAAGACGGGCGAAUAAUAGUCAUGAAAUUAUUCUGUUAAAUCGGUUAAUUCUAUCUUCGGCGAUCGUUGCUCAAUCCCAGUACGCAAACGAUUGAAUGAAACGAUUGAACAUUCGAUCUCGAGAAAAAUCUAGAAAAUCUGGUAUUUGAUCGACUAUAAAACAACCGUGACGAAAAAUCGAAUGUGAGACCAAUAAAGAUGGUCUCGACUCACCUUCACCCAAUUACUAAGUGGCGUAUCUAUGAAACCGUGGAUAAUGAACUUGGUCUCCCGUUUCGGGUCAAAGUUAGAUCGUUUAAUGGACUUGUCCUUAGCCACUAUAAGAACCUGGCCCUGGAAAUGAAGAUAGAAAUCACCGAAAUUAAUUAUACGAAGAUGCAACGCAAGUCGGACGAUCUAUGAUAAUGUGAUCGUUAACCGAAAUGCCGCAAUUCCAGGAUGAAUCUAGUGUUGAUAACUUCCCUCGGCAGGGGGAAAACAUUGAAGGGUCUGUGGAUUAGGUGAUACCAGCUCCUUGUGAUGUUCACGCACCCCAGUUCUUCGUAACAUCUUGUCUCGUUUUCAACUGCAAUCAUCGAGUAGCGGAAAAAAAAAUCCCCA